GUUUUAAGAUCAAAUUUCCAUGAAAAUUGUGAUAUCUAAGGCGUUUUAAAUCAUUUAUACACAAACUUCAUUUAGAAUCGUUUGCCGUCAGUAAUAGUUUAUCGUUGCUUACGGGUAUAAAUUAAAUAACUUUAUUUAUCCUAUCUUCCUAACUGUCCACUUACAACAGUGGCACACUUAUCAGCAGUAUCGGCUCUUUUUUUUUCUGCUAUAUGUAUUUAUGAAAACGUUUAUUUAAUUCAACCGGGAUUUAUUAUUGUACAAUGGCACAAAUAAAAUAUUACGGUAUGGUAUUCGAUGUAAAUAUGUAUAUAAAAUGUUUAAUGAAUAAUUUCUUUCUAAAUUUUUUUUGUUGAAACAUUCAAGUAUUAAUUGACUAGAGAUUUCUAAUCCGAAACAAGAAUUAGUUAACAAUGUCGCAUUAAUAUUAUAAAUCUAUGUAUAUACAUAUAUAUAUGUACAUAUUAACAAUAUAAUAUAAUAACAAUUUCACAUUUUUUUUUUUUUUUUACUAUAAAACACAAGGGAAAAAAUGUAACAUAAUAUUAUAUUUUACUAAUCAUAAUAAUAAUAAAAAAAACAUAAUAUUCCGUAUAACAUAUUAUUGUAUACACAAAUACCGUUUAGACAUUAAUAAUAUACGUAUUAUGUAUUAUAGAUAAAUUAUAUAAAAUUGAACAUUUCCAACAAGAAUAAAAUAACAGAAGACGGUAUUUUGUGGUCUAAUAUUUAAUGAGUUAAACUAUUAAGAAUAAUAAUGUCAUAAACUGUCGAUAAACAUUAAUACGAUACAUUUUUUUUUCUUUUUUUUUUAUGUAACUUGUAAAACACUGUUUUUUUUUUUUUUUUUUAGUAUAGGUAUAUAAAUUAAAACGAAUCCUCUUAAUGAGACAUAAGUUAAGUGUAUAAAGGAAAAACCGUUAUACCGUUUCAUUACACUCGCAGUCAUCACGCAAUACAACCAAGUAUUGGUUAGGUAUACAGAACGAAAAAAUGUUAAAGUAAAACUUUUUUUUUUUGAAUUAUGACUUAAAAUUUUUCUUGGUUUUUUUUUGCGUAGGUACCCAAGUUUCAUAUAUUUAAAUCGGUAUAGGUAUAUAGUUUAAAGGGGAGGGGGUGGGGGCAAAAACAAGAUCGUGAAAAUGUGUACAAAAUUACGUUCAAAGUGUACCGUUAGAAACACAAAGGAAUUGAACGAGAGAAUCGUUGGAACAAAUAAAAUAAAAUAAUAAUAACUCGAUAGAGUUAAUGUGAUAAUGAAAACAAUAUAAGAGAGAAAUUCGGAAAUUCGAGACACCUAGACGUCACAAUGAUAAUGUUUAAUACUCGCGUAUUAUGUUGUCUUCGAGAAGUAAAAAAAUAAAUUUAACCGAUUUAUUUUAUUAUUAUCGUUACAAUAUAAAAUACCGAUCCCGUGUUGUAUACAGUGUAAUGCUACUUCUACUGCAAUUUUAUCGUAGAAAAUGUCGAAAUUGUGUGAUACCUAUACAAUAUGAAUUGAUGGUUUCAAAUGUAUUGGGAAUCCCAGGACACCGCAGUACGCCUUAUUUUCUAUACUGCCUUCUCAUUGGCCCAUUUCGAGUUGUCACGGAUUCCCGCGCGUUUCUGAUUAGUAAAUUUCAAAUAGGCCGCCUUUAAAUGAAUUAUACAGUGUUAUCGGCAUCGUGGUACUUAUAGUGUAACCGUAAAAUACAUUUUCUUUGUCUUGGUGGUUUCGACGUAUAUUAUAACCAGUGAGCACGCAGUAUGCGCACAAGGCUGUAUGAUAAAAUGAUACGGUAUUAUGUUAGAUUAAUGCCGUAUAGUCGUUACAAUAUUUAGCAAAAGAUUCGGCGUUGGCCGCGGUCUAUCAGGAAACGAAUAAUAACUGAUCGAAAUAUUUAAAAGCAACUUGAAUAAUAAAAUAAUUUUACGCGUUACGUUCUGAACGAUCACGUGGUGAAACGAACCUAAAAUAACUAUAGUAAGCUUAUUAUAUCCAGUACCCGGCCACCAAUAAUUUCCAAUAUAUCUCAGUUUAACAUAUUUGUACUAUAAUAUGGUAGUAAACGAGCACUUAUGUUUAGUUAUUUUCAUAUAGAGCGCUCACCCGUAAAUCUUUAAAAAAAAAAAAUCAAAUCCAGAAGCAAACGUUCUUCUCAAAGACCGUAUGCGUCUCGCCACUUAUCCUUGAAAUGUAAGCGGUCGAUAGUUAUUUUUCAAUAUAGUCACUAUUUUGUAUUUUUUUUAACGAAUAGACGAAUUGGAUACGUACAACACGGACUUCAAAUUGUAAUUAGGUUUGAAACGUUAUUUAAUGUGUGUACGUAAUGGUAUAUAUAGUCGACAGUCGUGGCACUCGUAGCCAGUUUGAUAUGAAAUUCAGGUACAGCGGAGUCGUGUCGGAGAAUUCGGUUAACCAACUAAGAAAGCUAAAAAUGAGGAAAAAACCUAGAUGAACAAACAUGACGGAGAAUAUGUGGCGGACGACUUAUUUGUUUUUACUAUUAACCGAAAUGUUGUUAUCGUUGUUUUCUGCGGUCAGGUGACGACGGUUGGUGAUAUUAGUAUUACAUUUAUAACACUCGUUCAAUCGUGAGCCGAGUGAAAUAUUUCAAAGUAAAAAUCGAACGAAAAUUUCAAGUUCUGGAUGUUUUUUUUCCUUGAAACUGUUGUCCUCGGUCCUCGGGCCGGACAAAUGCGGACUACGUUCGCGGUCGUCAUUUUCGGAAAUUAACGUUGUCGUUUAUCGCAGCGAAACUUAUUUUACUGGCGGUUCGCUCUUUCCGCCUGACCUUUAAUUUUUUUCACGUUAAAUCGAAAUCGAAAACGGCGUGCGGCUCGCGCAGCGGCUUGCCCGGGAAUUUUCAACGUGAGCGGAUGUAACGAAUAAGAAUCGCGAAUAAAUCGUAAAAUCGUCUUCUCUACCCGACUCGACUAUACGGGAAUUGGUAACUUGAAAGCCGAUUUCUAAUCAUCGCGUCAAGCUUUUCCUCGGUAACCCGGCUGAAAUAUAUCAGCAUUUCGACAUUAGAUCGCUGGUAUUUUUUUGUAUUUUCAAGUCAACGGGGGUGGGGAGGGGGGAGGUAGGGAGGGGCCUAAUACCCGUUAUUCCGUGUACCGAGACGCGAAACAAAGAUACGAAACGCCCAUAGGCGCGCGUAGAUCUCUUUUUCAAGGUAUGUAGAACGCCGCCACUAGCGUCCCCGCAAGUUAAUUUGAAAUUCGUAAAACUCCGGUACACAAAAUAAUGUGCACGUUUAUUGAAAUGCCUUAACGACCGUUUAAUUAAAAACGCAAUUUUUACUCGAAACUCAAAUGGAAUAUUACAACGCAAAACGCGCGUGUUCGCCAGAUAUUUGAUCGCGCUCAUAUAAUAUGCGGUUUUUCGAUG